UAACCGGCGAUUUCCGAAUGGGGAAACCCAGUGUGAUUCGUCACACUAUCAUUAACUGAAUCCAUAGGUUAAUGAGGCGAACCGGGGGAACUGAAACAUCUAAGUACCCCGAGGAAAAGAAAUCAACCGAGAUUCCCCCAGUAGCGGCGAGCGAACGGGGAGCAGCCCAGAGCCUGAAUCAGUGUGUGUGUUAGUGGAAGCGUCUGGAAAGGCGCGCGAUACAGGGUGACAGCCCCGUACACAAAAAUGCACAUAUUGUGAGCUCGAUGAGUAGGGCGGGACACGUGGUAUCCUGUCUGAAUAUGGGGGGCCCAUCCUCCAAGGCUAAAUACUCCUGACUGACCGAUAGUGAACCAGUACCGUGAGGGAAAGGCGAAAAGAACCCCGGCGAGGGGAGUGAAAAAGAACCUGAAACCGUGUACGUACAAGCAGUGGGAGCACGCUUAGGCGUGUGACUGCGUACCUUUUGUAUAAUGGGUCAGCGACUUAUAUUCUGUAGCAAGGUUAACCGAAUAGGGGAGCCGAAGGGAAACCGAGUCUUAACUGGGCGUUAAGUUGCAGGGUAUAGACCCGAAACCCGGUGAUCUAGCCAUGGGCAGGUUGAAGGUUGGGUAACACUAACUGGAGGACCGAACCGACUAAUGUUGAAAAAUUAGCGGAUGACUUGUGGCUGGGGGUGAAAGGCCAAUCAAACCGGGAGAUAGCUGGUUCUCCCCGAAAGCUAUUUAGGUAGCGCCUCGUGAAUUCAUCUCCGGGGGUAGAGCACUGUUUCGGCAAGGGGGUCAUCCCGACUUACCAACCCGAUGCAAACUGCGAAUACCGGAGAAUGUUAUCACGGGAGACACACGGCGGGUGCUAACGUCCGUCGUGAAGAGGGAAACAACCCAGACCGCCAGCUAAGGUCCCAAAGUCAUGGUUAAGUGGGAAACGAUGUGGGAAGGCCCAGACAGCCAGGAUGUUGGCUUAGAAGCAGCCAUCAUUUAAAGAAAGCGUAAUAGCUCACUGGUCGAGUCGGCCUGCGCGGAAGAUGUAACGGGGCUAAACCAUGCACCGAAGCUGCGGCAGCG
rnacentral:rRNA from 1 species